GACGAACGCUGGCGGCGUGCUUAACACAUGCAAGUCGAGCGGUAAGGCCCUUUCGGGGGUACACGAGCGGCGAACGGGUGAGUAACACGUGGGUGACCUGCCCUUAGCUCUGGGAUAAGCCUGGGAAACUGGGUCUAAUACCGGAUAUGACUCCAUAACGCAUGUUGUGGGGUGGAAAGCCUUGUGCGGCUAGGGAUGGGCCCGCGGCCUAUCAGCUUGUUGGUGGGGUGAUGGCCACCAAGGCGACGACGGGUAGCCGGCCUGAGAGGGCGACCGGCCACACUGGGGACUGAGACACGGCCCAGACCCCUACGGGAGGG
rnacentral:rRNA from 1 species